UGCUCUUCCAAUCGUCCCAACGAGUAUCUACUUUCCGUGAAGGGUUGGUCUGAUUCAACCAACAAGAUUGUGGGCAUUAAAUUCAUAACCAACACAAAGACUUCAGAGUGUUAUGGAUUUGAAAAAACUCCUGGAGAAGAAGGUACAGAUAUUUCACUUGAAGUAAAAGACAAGAAGAUCGCCGGUUUUCAUGGCUUCGCUGACUCCCAAGUCAAUUCUCUUGGUGCUUAUUUCGCUCCAGUCGCCAGCUGAAAAAUUUGUUGGGUUCGUUUCUUGAUUUCUCUAUGAAUAAGGCUACAUAAGAGCCAUACUUGUGGAUUUCCGGAUGGGGAACACAACUAAAAGAGCUAAACAAGAACCAAACAAGAAACUUUACGUACCGUACCAGCGAGAGAAACGACCAUCAGAAAACAAAGCAAGCAAUGUGUAACCAAAACAGUAAAGAGUUAGAUUUAAAUUUUUAAACUUACAUGUAAAGCUUUUUAAUCGCUCAGCUAGUCAGCUCUGAAUUAAAGGUUUUUUUUUGAGUGUUUUAAUUUUGGUUGGAUUUAGGUGAGAUUUGAAGUUAUCUGAGUGAUUUUAGUAAAACUUAAAAAAUGAAAAAUGAAAUCUAUAGGUGAUUUGGUGUGAUAUUUUCUAAAAAUUUCAAAGUUGUUUCAGUGAUUUGAAAUGAUAAUAUUUUUUUGUCUGCACUUUUUUUGUUUUUUUAUCACACAUGCUUUGUAAAGAUACGCUCAUUACUAAUACCAACUAUCAAGAGGCUUAAAAAAAGAGGAGACGUGCAACCAAGAAGCCAUACUCUAGAGGUCAAUCGGUGGCGGCGACAGUUUGGAGAUCAUUCAAAAAAAGCGAGCAGGAAAGACUGAUGUUCGUAAAAUAAAAAAAAAAAGAAAAAAAAAGACUGAUGUUCGUGAUGCAGCCAGAAAGCUGCUCUACGGAUAGGACGGAGAUAGUCAAGAAGACCAUAAACGAGAAUAAGGCAAAGAAAGUCGAGUUUGCUUCCAAGAAACAAAAGUCUCAAGCGAAAGGUAUAUUCUGCAGAAAGUGAUGUUCGUUUUUCCUAUGAUUUUGUACUUGUUACAACCGCAAGUUUCUCUUUCGUUGAUGAAAUUGUAAGUCAGCUAGAAUCACUGCAACCUUGUAUCUUACCAGUGUAACCAACACACGAACAACAUUUUCGUCUCAGCAAGAAGAUUUAAAUCAUUCACAGCA